AUAUAUAUAUAGGGGGCAUCAUUGACUCUGGGGGGUCGGGAGUAGGCCUCACUUGCUUCCCAUGUGAAGAUGGUGUCUCUGAACAUCAAUAAAAAUUCUGCAGUUCCCCAAAGUGUAUAAAUGUCAAAUGAUCAAAAUGAUUCUCAUUUCUCUUAUAUGAAAUGAAGAAAGAACUUUUCUCGGUUGAUUUACUGUUGAAGUUAGAACCUGUUUUCCUCAUAAUAUCUCUUACACAGGUGCAAUAAAAAGCUGGACUCCACACACACACUCACUUGAAACUGUUGUAGGGUUGAUGUGAUCCAUGAAAUGAAGAAAGAACUUUUCUCGGUUGAUUUACUGUUGAAGUUAGAACCUGUUUUCCUCAUAAUAUCUCUUACACAGGUGCAAUAAAAAGCUGGACUCCACACACACACUCACUUGAAACUGUUGUAGGGUUGAUGUGAUCCAUGAAAUGAAGAAAGAACAUUUCUCGGUUCAUUUACUGUUGAAGUUAGAACCUGUUUUCCUCAUAAUAUCUCUUACACAGGCGCAAUAAAAAGCUGGACUCCACACACUCACUUGAAACUGUUGUAGGGUUGAUGUGUGAAAAGUGUUUAGGUUGUGAUAAGUGCAUCCUGAGAACAAAGCCUUGAAAAAUAAAAAUGCAAUUGGUUUUUAGUUCAUUCUGUUUUUCUGAAUUAUGUUGUUGUCGUCCCUUGGUUUUUGCUUGAGGACAAGCAAUGAUUCAAGUGUGGGGGAGUUUGAUAACACGCAAAA
rnacentral:lncRNA from 1 species